rnacentral:rRNA from 1 species
UACGAAGGGGGGCUAGCGUUGCUCGGAAUUACUGGGCGUAAAGCGCACGUAGGCGGCUUUCUAAGUCAGGGGUGAAAUCCUGGAGCUCAACUCCAGAACUGCCUUUGAUACUGGAGUGCUUGAGUCCGGGAGAGGUGAGUGGAACUCCGAGUGUAGAGGUGAAAUUCGUAGAUAUUCGGAAGAACACCAGUGGCGAAGGCGGCUCACUGGCCCGGUACUGACGCUGAUGUGCGAAAGCGUGGGGAGCAAACAGG